rnacentral:rRNA from 1 species
AGUGAACGCUGGCGGCGUGCUUAACACAUGCAAGUCGAACGAGAACGGAAUAUAGCUUGCUAUAUUUGUCAGCUAAGUGGCGCACGGGUGAGUAAUGUAUAGAUAACCUGCCCUUAAGAAAGGAAUAACAGUUGGAAACGACUGCUAAUGCCCUAUAUGCCUUUAAUACAUAAGUAUGCAAGGGCAACGCUUUAGUGCUUAAGGAUGGGUCUGUAUGGUAUCAGCUUGUUGGUGAGGUAAUGGCUCACCAAGGCUAUGACGCCUAACUGGUUUGAGAGGAUGAUCAGUCACACUGGAACUGAGACACGGUCCAGACUCCUACGGGAGGCAGCAGUGGGGAAUAUUGCACAAUGGACGAAAGUCUGAUGCAGCAACGCCGCGUGGAGGAUGACACAUUUCGGUGCGUAAACUCCUUUUAUAUAGGAAGAUAAUGACGGUACCACAUGAAUAAGCACCGGCUAACUCCGUGCCAGCCGCCGCCGUAA